rnacentral:rRNA from 1 species
ACGCCGCGUGAGUGAAGAAGGUCUUCGGAUCGUAAAACUCUGUUGUUAGAGAAGAACACGAGUGAGAGUAACUGUUCAUUCGAUGACGGUAUCUAACCAGCAAGUCACGGCUAACUACGUGCCAGCAGCCGCGGUAAUACGUAGGUGGCAAGCGUUGUCCGGAUUUAUUGGGCGUAAAGGGAACGCAGGCGGUCUUUUAAGUCUGAUGUGAAAGCCUUCGGCUUAACCGGAGUAGUGCAUUGGAAACUGGAAGACUUGAG